AACAACUUAAUUCAAUAACAUCGGUUACCGAUUCUUAAGGGUGUUUACUCCUAAGUCCUUGGUGAGAAAACCUUUAAUCAUUCAAAUUAAUACAUAUGUCCAUAGUGAAUUAUAUAUGAAAUUAAGCAUUAUUUUAAUCAAGAAUAUUCAGGUUUCCAUAGGGUAUCCCUAGACCUAUGUGAUAUCUACUAUGAAUUAUUCACAACUAAGCAUUAACAAUGGUGGUCAAGCCUAAA
rnacentral:lncRNA from 1 species